AAACUAAACACAUGUGUGAUUGAGUGUAUAUCCCGUGAGAAUGUCGCUAGUUUGCAUAUGAUGAUUUUAAAAAUAAAAACUUGAAAUUGCAUUAGCAUGGCUAUCUCACACAUUACACUUCAAGGAUGAUUUAAAGAUUACUGCUAAUUUUUGAAUUAGGAAGAUGAACUUAACUUGUUUGGUGUUAGCUAUGGUUCUUGAUGAUUUGUGUUCUCAAAUGAAAUUCUAUGAGGGUCACAUAGGGGGAAACUAAUGUUUUUCUUGUUAC
rnacentral:lncRNA from 1 species